UACUGCAGCAUCUUUUAGAAAUUUGAAAGAUAUUCUGUAGUGUUGAUGCUCAGCAGUAUGUCUACCAGCAGUAUUAGACUCUCAGACACAGUGGUACUACUGGAACAGGUCUUUUUGCUUUGAUUGUACAACAUUUUAGUAGUGUAGAACUUAUCUGACUUUCUCUUUAGCUUUUUAGACAUGUAUAUGUGGGAGUUCAGCUUGUGCUUUAUUUGUAACUGUCAGAGAUGCCAGUGGAAAAGAAUUUGCUAACAAAUUCAUCUCCUGAGCACCAGAGAGGUUAAGAGCUUUGUCAGUCACCUCCUUCUGUCGCGUUCAGAUGAACAUACUCAGAAAAAAAAAACCUGCCAUAGCACUGUGGAAUUAACUGCAUACAAGGCUGCAAUUUUGUUGUUUAACCUAGGAUCAUGCAUAGUCUCAUAUUUUGGAAGCCUAUCUUUUGUAUCGUUAAAUCAACAAUAACUUGUCAUUUUUCUUUCUCUUUAAUGGGAAAUUAGUUUUGGUAUGUAAAGUAACAGUUUGUAGGGGAAAUGCCAGGACUUUAAACAUUGAUGCGGCACCUGGUGGGAAGGCAGGGCCAACCUAGGGGAACUCAGGUGCAUGCAAUGCAGCCGAGUGACUGGGAGUGGUGGAGCCAGGAUCCACCCCUUUCCAACCCUCAUUUCAGGGCUGGCAGUGGAGGCAAGCAUAUUUUGCUGGAAUCCCUGUGUGCUAGAGACCUUCCAAAGGCCUUACCCUGGAACACCACUGAAGUUUGUGGCAGUUUUGCAUGCACAGCAUUGACAGGAUGUACCUUCAGUAAAAGUGACAAGGCGUUAUUUGCUGCUAAGCAGGGAUUUCCUAGAAGGCUUCAGGAAAGCAAAUAUAUCAGGACUGUUGUUGCUACAAAGAGCACAGUGACAAAAGAAUGAAUGCUUCUGAAGGAUCUCCCCUUAUUUGAAAGGAGCAAAAGUAAAUAAAAGCACUUAAUAGACUUUGUAGUCAAAUGGAAAUAUGAACAUGUUUAUUGUAGGAAAUUAAAUAAUAAUAAAAAAAAACCCAGAACUUUCCUCUUAAAAACAGAGAAUGGAACUGAGCAUGUAGAAUUUGGUAUACUUGUUUCUUUUACACACGUUAUCGACAAAAAAUUUUCUGUCUGUUGGCAGCACUGGUGAUGUGAGAUAUUUUGCAAGAGAAUAUGGUAAUUUGGAAAGUGGAGACACCAGUCAGUUAACAGCAGAGAAAGUGAUAUUCCUGGGAGAGAUGAAAUAUCACUGAAAAUGAAAGUCCACAAGUGUUUGCAAUGAAGCCUUUUCUGUGAAAACAUUAUUUAAAAACUAUGUUUCUGAUGCCUUACCUUUUAUUAAAAAUGCAAUAAUAAAUCAGCUCUGUUCCACUGCCAAAAUGUAUCCGAUUCAGUUGGAUCAUGGAAUUUCUCUUCCAUUUAAGGGGUUUGGCUUUUGAAAUAAAAAGAAAACCUUGGCUGUGCAUUCACAUGUGUUAACACAUCUGUGUGUUUCCCGGAAUACUUUAUGUUAUUUUAAGCUUUUUAGUUGCUUUAAAAAUCAUUAGCAAAAUAGAAUGACUUUUUGCCAUAG